rnacentral:rRNA from 1 species
UACAGAGGUCUCGAGCGUUGUUCGGAUUCAUUGGGCGUAAAGGGCGCGUAGGCGGCGGGGCAAGUCGGGUGUGAAAUCUCAGAGCUCAACUCUGAAACUGCACUCGAUACUGCUUUGCUUGAGGACUGGAGAGGAGAUUGGAAUUCACGGUGUAGCAGUGAAAUGCGUAGAUAUCGUGAGGAAGACCAGUGGCGAAGGCGGAUCUCUGGACAGUUCCUGACGCUGAGGCGCGAAGGCCAGGGGAGCAAACGGGG